rnacentral:rRNA from 1 species
UAAGCACUCUAUACUGUGAAACUGCGAAUGGCUCAUUAAAUCAGUUAUCGUUUAUUUGAUAGUACCUUACUACAUGGAUAACCGUGGUAAUUCUAGAGCUAAUACAUGCUAAAAGCCCCGACUUCGGGAGGGGCGUAUUUAUUAGAUAAAAAACCAAUGCCCUUCGGGGCUCCUUGGUGAUUCAUAAUAACUCAACGAAUCGCAUGGCCUUGCGCCGGCGAUGGUUCAUUCAAAUUUCUGCCCUAUCAACUUUCGAUGGUAGGAUAGUGGCCUACCAUGGUAUCAACGGGUAACGGGGAAUUAGGGUUCUAUUCCGGAGAGGGAGCCUGAGAAACGGCUACCACAUCCAAGGAAGGCAGCAGGCGCGCAAAUUACCCAAUCCCGACUCGGGGAGGUAGUGACAAUAAAUACCGAUACAGGGCUCUUUUGGGUCCUGUAAUUGGAAUGAGUACAAUUUAAAUCCCUUAACGAGGAACAAUUGGAGGGCAAGUCUGGUGCCAGCAGCCGCGGUAAUUCCAGCUCCAAUAGCGUAUAUUAAAGUUGUUGCAGUUAAAAAGCUCGUAGUUGAACCUUGGGCCUGGCUGGCCGGUCCGCCUCACCGCGUGUACUGGUCCGGCCGGGCCUUUCCUCCUGGCUACCCGCAUGCCCUUCGCUGGGCGUGUCGGGGAACCAGGACUUUUACUGUGAAAAAAUUAGAGUGUUCAAAGCAGGCCUUUGCUCGAAUACAUUAGCAUGGAAUAAUAGAAUAGGACGUGCGGUCCUAUUUUGUUGGUUUCUAGGACCGCCGUAAUGAUUAAUAGGGAUAGUCGGGGGCAUCAGUAUUCAAUUGUCAGAGGUGAAAUUCUUGGAUUUAUUGAAGACUAACUACUGCGAAAGCAUUUGCCAAGGAUGUUUUCAUUAAUCAGUGAACGAAAGUUAGGGGAUCGAAGACGAUCAGAUACCGUCGUAGUCUUAACCGUAAACUAUGCCGACUAGGGAUCGGGCGAUGUUACUAUUUUGACUCGCUCGGCACCUUACGAGAAAUCAAAGUCUUUGGGUCU